rnacentral:tRNA from 1 species
AGUCUUGUGGUGUAACACGUCAGAUUGCAAAUCUGAAGAUGCAGGCUCAUACCUGCCGGGGCUU